rnacentral:rRNA from 1 species
UACGUAGGGUGCAAGCGUUAAUCGGAAUCACUGGGCGUAAAGCGCACGUAGGCGGAUUGCUAAGUCAGGGGUGAAAUCCUGGAGCUCAACUCCAGAACUGCCUUUGAUACUGGCGAUCUUGAGUCCGGGAGAGGUGAGUGGAACUGCGAGUGUAGAGGUGAAAUUCGUAGAUAUUCGCAAGAACACCAGUGGCGAAGGCGGCUCACUGGCCCGGUACUGACGCUGAGGUGCGAAAGCGUGGGGAGCAAACAGG